rnacentral:rRNA from 1 species
UUCCCUAGUACGGCGAGUGAAGCGGGAAGAGCUCAAAUUUGAAAUCUGGUGGCCUCAGGUCAUCCGAGUUGUAAUCUAUAGAAGUGUUUUCCGUGCUGGCUCAUGUACAAGUCCCUUGGAACAGGGCGUCAUAGAGGGUGAGAAUCCCGUCCUUGACAUGAACUACCAGUGCUCUGUGAUACAUUUUCAACGAGUCGAGUUGUUUGGGAAUGCAGCUCAAAAUGGGUGGUAAAUUCCAUCUAAAGCUAAAUAUUGGCGAGAGACCGAUAGCGAACAAGUACCGUGAGGGAAAGAUGAAAAGCACUUUGGAAAGAGAGUUAAACAGUAUGUGAAAUUGUUGAAAGGGAAACGAUUGAAGUCAGUCGUGCUCUUUGGAUUCAGCCGGUUCUGCCGGUGUACUUCCUUUGAGUGGGGUCAACAUCAGUUUUGAUCGCUGGAUAAAGGCUGGAGGAACGUAGUACCCUCGGGUAAACUUAUAGCCUCCUGUCACAUACAGUGGUUGGGACUGAGGAACGCAGCACGCCUUUAUGGCCGGGAUUCGUCCACGUACGUGCUUAGGAUGUUGACAUAAUGGCUUUAAACGACCCGUCUUGAAACACGGACCA